CAAGUCUCAUACAGUGAAGGCGUAGCGAUCCACACUGGCCUCGAGUCAUGCGCAACUGGUCGUGAGGCCAGUGGCGAAGCGUUGACAGGGGAUAGCAUAGGCCAGCCAUUGAGCCGCGAAAGAAUUCAAUCCGGGACGCCGACACCGUUCACCGAGUAAAAACGGGGCAGAGUCGAUAUCGGCACGCCCGGACACGGUCGGACAGAA
rfam:Asticcacaulis biprosthecum C19 genomic scaffold ABI_scaffold00002, whole genome shotgun sequence.